rnacentral:rRNA from 1 species
UACGGAGGGGGCUAGCGUUGUUCGGAAUUACUGGGCGUAAAGCGCGCGUAGGCGGACCGGCAAGUCGGGGGUGAAAGCCCGAGGCUCAACCUCGGAACUGCCUUCGAUACUGCGGGUCUCGAGUCCGGGAGAGGUGAGUGGAAUUCCUAGUGUAGAGGUGAAAUUCGUAGAUAUUGGGAAGAACACCGGUGGCGAAGGCGGCUCUCUGGACCGAGACUGACGCUGAGGCGCGAAAGCGUGGGGAGCGAACAGG